rnacentral:rRNA from 1 species
CCUACGGGUGGCAGCAGUGGGGAAUAUUGCGCAAUGGGCGAAAGCCUGAUGCAGCGACGCCGCGUGAGGGAUGCAGGUCUUCGGAUCGUAAACCUCUGUCAGCAGGGAAGAACGGUCACUUUGCUAAUCAGCAGUGCAUUGACGGUACCUGCAAAGGAAGCACCGGCUAACUCCGUGCCCGCAGCCGCGGUAAUACGGAGGGUGCGAGCGUUACUCGGAAUUACGGGGCGUAAAGCGCUCGUAAGCGGUAUGUCAAGUCAAGGGUGAAAGCCCCGCGCUCAACGUGGGAACUGCCUUUGAAACUGGCAAACUGGAGUGUGUGAGAGGAUGGUGGAAUUCCAGGUGUAGGAGUGAAAUCCGUAGAUAUCUGGAGGAACAUCAGUGGCGAAGGCGACUAUCUGGCACAUAACUGACGCUGAGGAGCGAAAGCGUGGGUAGCAAACAGGAUUAGAUACCCUAGUAGUC